CAGCAGUAGCCACGGUAAAACCAAGGGUGCGAGCGUUAAUCGGAUUUACUGGGCGUAAAGCGUGCGUAGGCGGCUUUUUAAGUCGGAUGUGAAAUCCCUGAGCUUAACUUAGGAAUUGCAUUCGAUACUGGGAAGCUAGAGUAUGGGAGAGGAUGGUAGAAUUCCAGGUGUAGCGGUGAAAUGCGUAGAGAUCUGGAGGAAUACCGAUGGCGAAGGCAGCCAUCUGGCCUAAUACUGACGCUGAGGUACGAAAGCAUAAGGAGCAAACAGGAUUAGAUACCCCCGUAGUCCCUGUCUCUUAUAC
rnacentral:rRNA from 1 species